ACGGAAGGCAGCAGUGGGGAAUAUUGCACAAUGGGGGAAACCCUGAUGCAGCGAUGCCGCGUGAAGGAUGAAGUUCUUCGGAAUGUAAACUUCUAUCAGCAAGGAAGAAAAUGACAGUACUUGACUAAGCAGCCCCGGCUAACUACGUGCCAGCAGCCGCGGUAAUACGUAGGGGGCAAGCGUUAUCCGGAUUUACUGGGUGUAAAGGGCGUGUAGGCGGGACAUCAAGUCAGAUGUGAAAGCACGAGGCUCAACUUCGUGUCUGCAUUUGAAACUGACGUUCUUGAGUGUUGGAGAGGCUAACGGAACUCCUAGUGUAGCGGUGAAAUGCGUAGAUAUUAGGAAGAACACCAGUGGCGAAGGCGGUUAGCUGGACAAUAACUGACGCUGAGGCGCGAAAGCGUGGGUAGCAAACAGGAUUAGAUACCCUGGUA
rnacentral:rRNA from 1 species